rnacentral:misc_RNA from 1 species
AAGUCGUAACAAGGUCUCCGUUGGUGAACCAGCGGAGGGAUCAUUACAGAGUUGCAAAACUCCCAAACCAUUUGUGUAUCUACCUGUUUCGUUGCUUCGGCAGGCGGCCCCUGGGAGGGGCCUCUAGGCCUCGCGAGAGGUGCCUGCCGGAGGUUCCAAAACUCAACUGUUAGUUAAUGUUCUGUCUGAGUAAAACUUAUAUAAUAAGUCAAAACUUUCAACAACGGAUCUCUUGGUUCUG